rnacentral:lncRNA from 1 species
AUCCGGGAAAUCGAUGGAAAGAAGAGGAUAACGAACGGGUUGGUGUGAUAGCAAAGAUCUGGAGAACUGAGAAGUCAUGGCUUGACAAGGAUUUGAUCAGAAAGGGAAAGACAUGAUUCUCCGGAUACAGGGUGAUUAAAAGGGAUUGUGAUCGUAUCUACUUGGUGGGGAUACGAUCUACAGAUUUUGCAGCAAAGGAUCUCGAUGGGGAGAAAUGGAUUUCGAUUUCGAUCCUCUUUAAGAUGAGAUCGUCUGACUUUACAGGUAUUAAUUCAGUCUACUCAUUACGAAAGAAUUUAUUCUUUCAACAUGGGAUUCGAAGAAUCAAUUUCGGAUUGGAUACAAUAGGGAUAUGGAGCUUGUGGAUCUCGUGGGUCUGUGAUGAACAGAUACUACAGAAAACUUGGAAAGGAGGACACAAUCAU